UACGUAGGUGGCGAGCGUUGUCCGGAUUUAUUGGGCGUAAAGCGCGCGCAGGCGGUUGUCUAAGUCUGCUGUGAAAUCUCCCGGCUCAACUGGGAGGGGGCGGCGGAGACUGGGCGACUGGAGGGACCUAGAGGCCGGUGGAAUUCCCGGUGUAGUGGUGAAAUGCGUAGAGAUCAGGAGGAACACCGGUGGCGAAGGCGGCCUACUGGGCCAGCACUGACGCUGAGGCGCGAAAGCUCGGGGAGCGAACGGG
rnacentral:rRNA from 1 species